rnacentral:rRNA from 1 species
GAAGAUGACGAGCGGCGGACGGGUGAGUAAUACUUAGGAAUCUACCUAGUAGUGGGGGAUAGCUCGGGGAAACUCGAAUUAAUACCGCAUACGACCUACGGGAGAAAGGGGGCAACUUGUUGCUCUCGCUAUUAGAUGAGCCUAAGUCGGAUUAGCUAGAUGGUGGGGUAAAGGCCUACCAUGGCGACGAUCUGUAGCUGGUCUGAGAGGAUGAUCAGCCACACCGGGACUGAGACACGGCCCGGACUCCUACGGGAGGCAGCAGUGGGGAAUAUUGGACAAUGGGGGAAACCCUGAUCCAGCCAUGCCGCGUGUGUGAAGAAGGCCUUUUGGUUGUAAAGCACUUUAAGCAGUGAAGAAGACUCUUCGGUUAAUACCCGGAGACGAUGACAUUAGCUGCAGAAUAAGCACCGGCUAACUCUGUGCCAGCAGCCGCGGUAAUACAGAGGGUGCAAGCGUUAAUCGGAAUUACUGGGCGUAAAGCGAGCGUAGGUGGCUUGAUAAGUCAGAUGUGAAAUCCCCGGGCUUAACCUGGGAACUGCAUCUGAUACUGUCAGGCUAGAGUAGGUGAGAGGAAGGUAGAAUUCCAGGUGUAGCGGUGAAAUGCGUAGAGAUCUGGAGGAAUACCGAUGGCGAAGGCAGCCUUCUGGCAUCAUACUGACACUGAGGCUCGAAAGCGUGGGUAGCAAACAGGAUUAGAUACCCUGGUAGUCCACGCCGUAAACGAUGUCUACUAGUCGUUGGGUCCCUU